CUCUUAUGGAGAGUUUGAUCCUGGCUCAGGACGAACGCUGGCGGCGUGCCUAAUACAUGCAAGUCGAGCGGAUGACGGAGAGCUUGCUCUCCUGAUUCAGCGGCGGACGGGUGAGUAACACGUGGGCAACCUGCCUGUAAGAUCGGGAUAACUCCGGGAAACCGGGGCUAAUACCGGAUGGUUCCUUCCUCCGCAUGGAGGAAG
rnacentral:rRNA from 1 species